GAGGGUGUAGCUCGGUGGUAGAACACACGCUUAGCAUGCACGAGGUCCUGGGUUCGAUCCCCAGUACCUCCA
rnacentral:tRNA from 1 species